rnacentral:rRNA from 1 species
UACGUAGGGUGCAAGCGUUGUCCGGAUUUAUUGGGCGUAAAGAGCGUGUAGGCGGCUAGACAGGUCCGCUGUGAAAAACUCGAGGCUCAACCUCGAGACGUCGGUGGAAACCGUCUGGCUAGAGUCCGGAAGAGGAGAGUGGAAUUCCCGGUGUAGCGGUGAAAUGCGCAGAUAUCGGGAAGAACACCCGUGGCGAAGGCGGCUCUCUGGGACGGUACUGACGCUGAGACGCGAAAGCGUGGGGAGCGAACAGG